GACGUAGGGGGCAAGCGUUGUUCGGAAUUAUUGGGCGUAAAGCGCUCGUAGGCGGGACUGGAAGUCCGUGUUGAAAGACCUCGGCUCAACUGAGGGACCGGCUCGGAUACUCUAGUUCUUGAGGCAAUCAGAGGGUGAUGGAAUUCCCGGUGUAGCGGUGAAAUGCGUAGAUAUCGGGCAGAACACCAGUGGCGAAGGCGGCCGGCUGGGCCGUACCUGACGCUGAGGCGCGAAAGCCAGGGGAGCGAACGGA
rnacentral:rRNA from 1 species